ensembl:lncRNA
GUCCUGCAGAGGCCUCCAGCUGCGGCUUUAGUGUGACCAAGUGUUGUGGGGGUCCCCAGGGGCCGGUCUGACCGGUCCGGCGUGCCCGAGCCGGUCGUGCAGAGGGAGCCAGCUGCGGCUUUAGUGUGACCGAGUGCUGUACGGGCCCGCACGGGCCGGUCUGAGCGGUCCGGCGACCAGGACCGGCUCCUUCAGCAUGCUCCAGCCACAGCUGCGGAGGAGGCCGAGUCCGGUGGGGCACGCAGGGGUCCGGGUGACCAGUCCGGCGAGCCUGAGCUGGUCCUGUACAGGCCUCCAGCCACGGCUGCUGUGUGACCGAGUCCUGUUUGGGCACGCAGGGGCCGGGCUGACCGUUCCGGAGAGCCGGAGCCGGUCCUGCAGAGGCCUCCAGCUGCGGCUUUAGUGUGACCGAGUGCUGUGCGGGCCCGCAGGGGCCGGUGCGAG